rnacentral:rRNA from 1 species
AAUGAACGCUGGCGGUAUGCCUAACACAUGCAAGUCGAACGGCAGCUCAGUAAGAGCUUGCUCUUACGGGUGUCGCGUGGCGGAAGGGUGAGGUAUACUUGGGAUUCUACUUUUUCGUGGGUGCUAACGCAGGGAAACGUACUCUAAUACCGCAUACGUCCUCCGUGUGAAAGCAGGCGUUCUUCUGACCUUGCGCUAGUGUAUGAGCCUACGUCGGCGGCGCUUGUUGGCGGGGUAGAGGCCAUCCUAGGCGACGAUCCGUAGCUGAUCUGAGAGGAAGAACACACACCCUGGCAGUGAGACACGGUAGCGACUCCUACAGGAGGCCGCGGCGGGGACUAUUGCACGAGGGAGGAAAGCCUGAUACAGCAAUACCGCGUGAAGGAAGAAGGACCUCGGGUUGUAAAGCCAUGUUGUUGGGAAAGAAAAGAAGCACGUUAACACCCCGCGGUAAUGACGGUACCCAAAGAAUAAGCACCGGCUAACUUCGUG